rnacentral:rRNA from 1 species
AUUGAACGCUGGCGGCAGGCCUAACACAUGCAAGUCGAGCGGCUCGGCGGACGGGUGAGUAAUGCCUAGGAAUCUGCCUGGUCGUGGUGGAUAACGUCCGGAACCGGGCGCUAAUACCGCAUACUCUCAGCUGAGCCUAGGUCGGAUUAGCUAGUUGGUGGGGUAAAGGCCUACCAAGGCGACGAUCCGUAACUGGGCUGAGAGUAUGAUCAGUCACACUGGAACUGAGAAAAGGCCCAGACGCCGACGGGAGGGAGCAGUGGGGGAUAUUGCACAAUGGGCGAAAGACUGAUGCAGCGACGACGCGUGGGGGAUGAAGGCUGUCGGGUUGUAAACCUCUGUCGCUAGCGAACGGGUAGGUGGAGAAGAAGCGCCGGCUAACUACGUGCCAGCAGCCGCGGUAAUUC